rnacentral:rRNA from 1 species
GANAGAGCUUACCAUGCAAGUCUACUUGAUCCUUCGGGUGAAGGUGGCGGACGGGUGAGUAACGCGUAAAGAACUUGCCUUACAGACUGGGACAACAUUUGGAAACGAAUGCUAAUACCGGAUAUUAUGACUGAGUCGCAUGAUUUGGUUAUGAAAGCUAUAUGCGCUGUGAGAGAGCUUUGCGUCCCAUUAGUUAGUUGGUGAGGUAACGGCUCACCAAGACGAUGAUGGGUAGCCGGCCUGAGAGGGUGAACGGCCACAAGGGGACUGAGACACGGCCCUUACUCCUACGGGAGGCAGCAGUGGGGAAUAUUGGACAAUGGACCAAAAGUCUGAUCCAGCAAUUCUGUGUGCACGAUGAAGUUUUUCGGAAUGUAAAGUGCUUUCAGUUGGGAAGAAGUCAGUGACGGUACCAACAGAAGAAGCGACGGCUAAAUACGUGCCAGCAGCCGCGGUAAUACGUAUGUCGCAAGCGUUAUCCGGAUUUAUUGGGCGUAAAGCGCGUCUAGGCGGNUUUAGUAAGUCUGAUGUGNAAAAUGCGGGGCUCAACCCCCGUAUUGCGUUGGAAACUGUUAAACUAGAGUACUGGAGAGGUAGGCGGAACUACAAGUGUAGAGGUGAAAUUCGUAGAUAUUUGUAGGAAUGCCGAUGGGGAAGCCAGCCUACUGGACAGAUACUGACGCUAAAGCGCGAAAGCGUGGGUAGCAAACAGGAUUAGAUACCCUGGUAGUCCACGCCGUAAACGAUGAUUACUAGGUGUUGGGGGGUCGAACCUCAGCGCCCAAGCUAACGCGAUAAGUAAUCCGCCUGGGGAGUACGUACGCAAGUAUGAAACUCAAAGGAAUUUGACGGGGACCCGCACAAGCGGUGGAGCAUGUGGUUUUAAUUCGACGCAACGCGAGAAACCUUACCAGCGUUUGACAUCCCAAGAAGUUAACAGAGAUGUUUUCGUGCCUCUUCGGAGGAACUUGGUGACAGGUGGUGCAUGGCUGUCGUCAGCUCGUGUCGUGAGAUGUUGGGUUAAGUCCCGCAACGAGCGCAACCCCUUUCGUAUGUUACCAUCAUUAAGUUGGGGACUCAUGCGAGACUGCCUGCGAUGAGCAGGAGGAAGGUGGGGAUGACGUCAAGUCAUCAUGCCCCUUAUACGCUGGGCUACACACGUGCUACAAUGGGUAGUACAGAGAGCUGCAAACCUGCGAGGGUAAGCUAAUCUCAUAAAACUAUUCUUAGUUCGGAUUGUACUCUGCAACUCGAGUACAUGAAGUUGGAAUCGCUAGUAAUCGCAAAUCAGCUAUGUUGCGGUGAAUACGUUCUCGGGUCUUGUACACACCGCCCGUCACACCACGAGAGUUGGUUGCACCUGAAGAACAGGCCAACCGAAGGAGGAUU